rnacentral:rRNA from 1 species
AUGAUCGACGAUACCAAAUUCACAAGGGUCUGUCAGGUUACAAGUUAUCAUCCUCAUGUUUCCAGGCUACAAGCAAAACUUGUUGAGUUUCAGAUUAUGCCAGGCUAUUCAAUUCAGCGAGGUCACCCACUAGAACUGCAACUGGGAUUGAGGAUGACAACCGGUCUUGCAGUGAUGUUAAUAUUGGAUCUUGGAAUGGCUAAGAGGAACGGAAGUAAGUUAAUAGUUACAUUUCUUGAUAACUUCAUCUGUGCAAGUUGCUCAAAUUUGGUGGUUGUGCGAUUGGCAUUAUGUUCUUGCUGGAAACAAGUGCGUAGUUCUGGAAAGCUGAACUGA